rnacentral:tRNA from 1 species
UAGCUCACUUGGUAAAGAAUCUGCCUGCAAUGCAGGAGACCCAGGUUUGAUUCCUGG